UACAGAGGGUGCGAGCGUUAAUCGGAAUUACUGGGCGUAAAGGGUGCGUAGGUGGUUAUUUAAGUCAGAUGUGAAAGCCCUGGGCUCAACCUAGGAAUUGCAUUUGAAACUGAGUAGCUAGAGUAUGGUAGAGGGAAGUGGAAUUUCCGGUGUAGCGGUGAAAUGCGUAGAUAUCGGAAGGAACAUCAGUGGCGAAGGCGGCUUCCUGGACUAAUACUGACACUGAGGCACGAAAGCAUGGGGAGCGAACAGG
rnacentral:rRNA from 1 species